rnacentral:rRNA from 1 species
AUUGAACGCUGGCGGCAGGCUUAACACAUGCAAGUCGAGCGGGGUGAUGGUGCUUGCACUAUCACUUAGCGGCGGACGGGUGAGUAAUGCUUAGGAAUCUGCCUAUUAGUGGGGGACAACAUCUCGAAAGGGAUGCUAAUACCGCAUACGUCCUACGGGAGAAAGCAGGGGAUCACUUGUGACCUUGCGCUAAUAGAUGAGCCUAAGUCGGAUUAGCUAGUUGGUGGGGUAAAGGCCUACCAAGGCGACGAUCUGUAGCGGGUCUGAGAGGAUGAUCCGCCAAACUGGGACGGGGGCACGGCCCAGACUCCUACGGGAGGCAGCAGUGGGGAAUAUUGGACAAUGGGGGGAACCCUGAUCUAGCCAUGCCGCGUGUGUGAAGAAGGCCUUAUGGUUGUAAAGCACUUUAAGCGAGGAGGAGGCUCUUUUGGUUAAUACCCAAGAUGAGUGGACGUUACUCGCAGAAUAAGCACCGGCUAACUCUGUGCCAGCAGCCGCCGUAA